AAUCCUAUUGGUUGCAGAGUGAGGACUUUUCAAAGCUUUUGUUUUGCGAAGAAUUUUAAGCCCUAGCAAUUUUUAAAUAAAAACGAUAACAUAUCCAGACAAGAAAUUGAGCAAAGAUUUGAUAUUGCUAAAGAACAAAGAUUCGUAAACAAAGCUGAAAACAGAAAAAUAAAUCUAAUUAAUAUGCAGUGUCUAUGCAACUGAAUAACAAUUCUUUCCUGAUCACUAGCAAGGUGUUUGAAAAUGAAAAUUUGGCCAUGUGGGGAACUGGCUGCAAACAAAUAGGCACUAAUAUAGAUAUUCAGUUUUGGCAACUGAAAGAAGAGCCAAACUAUCCUGGAUAUUUCUACAUCUGUAACACAAAAUAUGAUGGAUAUCGAAUCGCCAAUUUGGAAAAAGGAAUUAUUUGUGAAAAUAUACCAGAUAAUGAAAGUCAGUUGUUCAAAUUUGAAGAAGUUGGUGAUAGUUAUUACCAAAUAUGCAAUUAUAAAAAACAGGAAGCCAAACUAACAAAAUUGGGAAAAGAAAAUGAUGAAUUGGGUUUCUCUGAUGGAACUAGUGAUGACAAUCAAUCAUGGAAACUGGUACCAAGGUUCAAAGCUUAUGUUACAACUGUGACGAUAUGCAGCUACGACAACAGAAAAGAAUCAGAAUCUUUCUCAACAGAAAUAUCUGUAACAACUGGCCUCAAGUUUGAACCGUCCUCCUCUUUUUUAACUACUGUUGGUUUGAAAGAGUCGUUAAUGGCAUCCGUUUCGAGUGCUGAAGCAGAUGAGACCUCCAAGCUGCAGAUAAAGGCGGACAUUCAAAGAUUAUUGUCGAACGGUCAGGAAGAAAAUUGGUUUCAUGAAUCUCCGACUCGAUUUAAUAUACCAGUGGGAAUGAAUUAUCGUGUGAAACAGCUGACGCGUUAUUUCUCAAGUCCUCUUAAAUCUGAUUAUUGUAAUUUGAGAUGCGAUUACAUAAUCGAUGAAACUCCUGGAGAAUUUCACUAAAAACGUAGCUUUGCUAUAAAAUUACUGCACUAUUCAUAAAUUUACUCAUUCGUGAAAUAAUUAAAUCAUAAAUUGUGCACUAAACACUUUUCUCACAAUAAAAAUACUUAACAUAGCUACAACUUGUCUUUGUAUACUCAUGCAAAAAUAUACACACAACAUAAAAAAAUGUAUUUGUCGUAACUGUAAGAAAAACUAGUUGAAAAUUGGAUUUGGAAGAAACGUGUUGAAAAAACAGAUUUGUUUCAUAAUCAUGGCCAAGUAAAGGAUAGAUAUUUCUAUAUGAUUUUUUCAUAAUCUUUUUAUAUAAUAAAGGAGGUUCUUCUAAAAGAA